ACAUGCAGUCGAGCGAAUGAUGAGGAGCUUGCUCCUCUGAUUUAGCGGCGGACGGGUGAGUAACACGUGGGUAAUCUGCCUGUAAGACGGGGAUAACUCCGGGAAACCGGGGCUAAUACCGGAUAAUAAGAGGAAACGCAUGUUUCCUUUUUGAAAGUCGGUUUCGGCUGACACUUACAGAUGAGCCCGCGGCGCAUUAGCUAGUUGGUGAGGUAACGGCUCACCAAGGCGACGAUGCGUAGCCGACCUGAGAGGGUGAUCGGCCACACUGGGACUGAGACACGGCCCAGACUCCUACGGGAGGCAGCAGUAGGGAAUCUUCGGCAAUGGGCGAAAGCCUGACCGAGCAACGCCGCGUGAGCGAUGAAGGCCUUCGGGUCGUAAAGCUCUGUUGUUAGAGAAGAACAAGUACGAGAGUAACUGCUCGUACCUUGACGGUACCUAACCAGAAAGCCACGGCUAACUACGUGCCAGCAGCCGCGGUAAUACGUAGGUGGCAAGCGUUAUCCGGAAUUAUUGGGCGUAAAGCGCGCGCAGGCGGUCUCUUAAGUCUGAUGUGAAAGCCCACGGCUCAACCGUGGAGGGUCAUUGGAAACUGGGAGACUUGAGUGCAGGAGAGAAAAGUGGAAUUCCACGUGUAGCGGUGAAAUGCGUAGAGAUGUGGAGGAACACCAGUGGCGAAGGCGGCUUUUUGGCCUGUAACUGACGCUGAGGCGCGAAAGCGUGGGGAGCAAACAGGAUUAGAUACCCUGGUAGUCCACGCCGUAAACGAUGAGUGCUAGGUGUUGGGGGGUUCCACCCUCAGUGCUGAAGUUAACACAUUAAGCACUCCGCCUGGGGAGUACGACCGCAAGGUUGAAACUCAAAGGAAUUGACGGGGGCCCGCACAAGCAGUGGAGCAUGUGGUUUAAUUCGAAGCAACGCGAAGAACCUUACCAGGUCUUGACAUCCUCUGACCACUCUAGAGAUAGAGCUUUCCCCUUCGGGGGACAGAAUGACAGGUGGUGCAUGGUUGUCGUCAGCUCGUGUCGUGAGAUGUUGGGUUAAGUCCCGCCACCGAGCGCAACCCUU
rnacentral:rRNA from 1 species